rnacentral:rRNA from 1 species
GCUACCAUGCAUGUCGAGCGGCAGCGACAACAUUGAACCUUCGGGGGAUUUGUUGGGCGGCGAGCGGCGGACGGGUGAGUAAUGCCUGGGAAAUUGCCCUGAUGUGGGGGAUAACCAUUGGAAACGAUGGCUAAUACCGCAUGAUAGCUUCGGCUCAAAGAGGGGGACCUUCGGGACCCUCUCGCGUCAGGAUAUGCCCAGGUGGGAUUAGCUAGUUGGUGAGGUAAGGGCUCACCAAGGCGACGAUCCCUAGCUGGUCUGAGAGGAUGAUCAGCCACACUGGAACUGAGACACGGUCCAGACUCCUACGGGAGGCAGCAGUGGGGAAUAUUGCACAAUGGGCGCAAGCCUGAUGCAGCCAUGCCGCGUGUAUGAAGAAGGCCUUCGGGUUGUAAAGUACUUUCAGCAGUGAGGAAGGGGGUAUCGUUAAUAGCGGUAUCUUUUGGACGUUAGCUGCAGAAGAAGCACCGGCUAACUCCGUGCCAGCAGCCGCGGUAAUACGGAGGGUGCGAGCGUUAAUCGGAAUUACUGGGCGUAAAGCGCAUGCAGGUGGUUUGUUAAGUCAGAUGUGAAAGCCCGGGGCUCAACCUCGGAAUUGCAUUUGAAACUGGCAGGCUAGAGUACUGUAGAGGGGGGUUAGAAUUUCAGGUGUAGCGGUGAAAUGCGUAGAGAUCUGAAGGAAUACCGGUGGCGAAGGCGGCCCCCUGGACAGAUACUGACACUCAGAUGCGAAAGCGUGGGGAGCAAACAGGAUUAGAUACCCUGGUAGUCCACGCCGUAAACGAUGUCUACUUGGAGGUUGUGGCCUUGAGCCGUGGCUUUCGGAGCUAACGCGUUAAGUAGACCGCCUGGGGAGUACGGUCGCAAGAUUAAAACUCAAAUGAAUUCGGGGGCCCGCACAAGCGGUGGAGCAUGUGGUUUAAUUCGAUGCAACGCGAAGAACCUUACCUACUCUUGACAUCCAGAGAACUUAGCAGAGAUGCUUUGGUGCCUUCGGGAACUCUGAGACAGGUGCUGCAUGGCUGUCGUCAGCUCGUGUUGUGAAAUGUUGGGUUAAGUCCCGCAACGAGCGCAACCCUUAUCCUUGUUUGCCAGCGAGUAAUGUCGGGAACUCCAGGGAGACUGCCGGUGAUAAACCGGAGGAAGGUGGAGACGACGUCAAGUCAUCAUGGCCCUUACGAGUAGGGCUACACACGUGCUACAAUGGCGCAUACAGAGGGCGGCCAACUUGCGAAAGUGAGCGAAUCCCAAAAAGUGCGUCGUAGUCCGGAUUGGAGUCUGCAACUCGACUCCAUGAAGUCGGAAUCGCUAGUAAUCGUGAAUCAGAAUGUCA